GGAUGUGAGGGUGAUCUGGCUGCUGUAUCUGUCACCGCCCUGAUUGCCAGGGUUGAUUUGGCUGAUCUGGCUGCCUAGGCAGGCUUACUCCUUCACUGCUCCAUGUGCCUCCCUCCUGAAGGUGUGCACUUGGUCAAAGAGGAUGACUUUCCACAAACACAGGAGGACUGGUCUUCAGUCAAGGGUAUACGAGUAGCUGUGCUCUUCUGCUAGAACCUCCAAAUAAGCUCUCAAUGUUGCUAAAAUAUUUAAUACAAAUAAAGUUUUAAGUGCUAUCAUAAAUACUUCGAUACACUAUAUUAU
rnacentral:snRNA from 1 species